rnacentral:rRNA from 1 species
CCUACGGGUGGCAGCAGUGAGGAAUAUUGGUCAAUGGGCGGGAGCCUGAACCAGCCAAGUCGCGUGAGGGACGACGGUCCUAUGGAUUGUAAACCUCUUUUGUCGGGGACAAAAGGCGCCAACGUGUGGGCGGAUGAGUGUCCCCGAAGAAAAAGCAUCGGGAAACUCCGUGCAAGCAGCCGCGGUAAUACGGAGGUAGCGAUCGUUAUCCGGAUUUAUUGGGUUAAAGGGGUGCGUAGUGGGACAGUAAAGUCAGCGGUAAAAAUGCGGUUCUAAACGCCGUACAGCCGUUGAAACUGGCAUUCUUGAGUGGGCGAGAAGUAUGCGGAAUGCGUGGUGUAGCGGUGAAAUGCAUAGAUAUCACGCAGAACUCCGAUUGCGAAGGCAGCAUACCGGCGCCCGACUGACGCUGAGGCACGAAAGCGUGGGUAUCGAACAGGAUUAGAUACCCGAGUAGUC